GACGAACGCUGGCGGCGUGCUUAACACAUGCAAGUCGAACGGAAAGGCCUCUUUCGGGGGGUACUCGAGUGGCGAACGGGUGAGUAACACGUGAGUAACCUGCCCUUGACUUUGGGAUAACUUCAGGAAACUGGGGCUAAUACCGGAUAGGAGCUCCUGCUGCAUGGUGGGGGUUGGAAAGUUUCGGCGGUUGGGGAUGGACUCGCGCCUUAUCAGCUUGUUGGUGGGGUAGUGGCUUACCAAGGCUUUGACGGGUAGCCGGCCUGAGAGGGUGACCGGCCACAUUGGGACUGAGAUACGGCCCAGACUCCUACGGGAGGCAGCAGUGGGGAAUAUUGCACAAUGGGUGGAAGCCUGAUGCAGCAACGCCGUGUGCGGGAUGACGGCCUUCGGGUUGUAAACCGCUUUCGCUCAUGACGAAGCUUUGUGUGACGGUAGUGGGUAAAGAAGCACCGGCUAACUACGUG
rnacentral:rRNA from 1 species